rnacentral:misc_RNA from 1 species
AAGUCGUAACAAGGUUUCCGUUGGUGAACCAGCGGAGGGAUCAUUAUAGAGUUAUUAUAAACUCCUAAACCCAUGUGAACAUACCUAUUGUUGCUUCGGCAGGUCUCGCAGCCCUCCCGGUUUUGAUGCUCCCUCACCGGAGCACCUACCCGGUAGCUGCGGGGUACGCCUGCCGGUGGCCCACUAAACUCUGUUUGAUAUUGAAAUUCUGAAUCUAUAACUAAAUAAGUUAAAACUUUCAACAACGGAUCUCUUGGUUCUG